rnacentral:rRNA from 1 species
AUUCCCCUAGUAACGGCGAGUGAAGAGGGAAGAGCCCAAGAUUGAAAGCUGGCGUCUUCGGCGUCCGCAUUGUAAUCUCAAGAAGUGUUUUCCGCUUCGGACCAUGCCUAAGUCCCUUGGAAAAGGGCAUCAUAGAGGGUGAUAAUCCCGUACAUGGCAUGGAGCGCCCGAGGCUUUGUGAUACGCUUUCUAAGAGUCGAGUUGUUUGGGAAUGCAGCUCAAAAUGGGUGGUAAAUGCCAUCUAAGGCUAAAUAUUGGGGAGAGACCGAUAGCGAACAAGUACAGUGAUGGAAAGAUGAAAAGAACUUUGAAAAGAGAGUUAAACAGUACGUGAAAUUGCCAAAAGGGAAGGGUAGGAGGUUCAGAGAUGCGUCUUGGGAUUCAGCCUUGCUUUUGCUUGGUGUUUUUCCCAAGUUGCAGGCCAACGUCGGUUUUGGGCACUGGAGAAGGGUGGAAGGAACGUGGCACCUCUCGGGGUGUGUUAUAGCCUUCCACUGGAUACAGCGACCGAGACCGAGGACAGCAGCGUACUCGCAAGAGCGGGCCUUCGGGCACCUUUACGCUUAGGGCGUUGGCAUAAUGGCCCUCUACCACCCGUCUUGAAACACGGACCAAGGAGUCUAACAUGUAUGCGAGUCUUUGGGUGGCAAACCCAUAGGCGCAAUGAAAGUGAAUUCAGGUGGGAUCCGCAAGGUGCACCAUCGACCGAUCCUCACGUCUUUUAAGUCGUGGAUUUGAGUAAGAGCAUACCUGUUGGGACCCGAAAGAUGGUGAACUAUGCCUGAAUAGGGUGAAGCCAGAGGAAACUCUGGUGGAGGCUCGUAGCGGUUCUGACGUGCAAAUCGAUCGUCAAAUUUGGGUAUAGGGGCGAAAGACUAAUCGAACCAUUAUUAUUUGCUAGGUGGUUAAGAGGUGGCUAAAAGGGCACACCUAGUGGGCGCUGAAGCUCGCGACACUGUCAAAAUGCGGGGACACCCUAAAGCUUUCAAUACCAAGCCGGCGUGGAAACACAGUCGGUGGCCGAGUUAACAACCCUGGGUAUGGUAAAAACUUGAAAGAUAUUGCAAUGGGCAAUCCGCAGCCAAGCUCUAAGGGUGUAAAAAGCCUAUGAGUGCAGUUCACAGACUAGAUGGCAGUGGGUUUCGUCUUCGGACGAGGCUUAAGAUAUAGUCGGUCCUCUCUCGAAAGGGAGCCGGAGGAGGAAAGAUCGAGGUUCUUCAGCAACAGACCUCUUUCCGGAKCCUCUGGGMMUUGA